AACUAUUUUGAUGUUUCUCUAUGCAUCAUAUGUUCUACGGUUGACCGCUAUGCUCCCAGGAUGCACUCAAAAUACUCAUAUAUUUGUUUCCCAGAUUAUUAUCAAUCCAAGGAUCAAAGAAGAAAAAAAGGGACAUAGCAAAAUUGACUUUAGAGAGCUGGACCAUGAUCUACAAAAAUGAUCACAGUUAGGGCAGAAGAAUGAUGAAGCCCCGUGCUUUUCUAACCCAGUGGUCCCUUCUGACCUAGCUAAGAGAAGAUCAUAUGGACAUUUAGGGAUAAGAUGGAAGGGAGGUAGUUCCCUAUCUGGAACUGUUUAACGUCUGCUAUUUCAUCAGACUAAUAAACAAAGCCAUGGAAUAUUCGCAUAUCUUCACUACAAAACGUGACCAAGAUGGAAGAGGCCCUCCUACAA